GAUGAACGCUAGCUACAGGCUUAACACAUGCAAGUCGAGGGGCAGCAUGACCUAGCAAUAGGUUGAUGGCGACCGGCGCACGGGUGAGUAACACGUAUCCAACCUGCCGAUUAUUCCGGGAUAGCCUUUCGAAAGAAAGAUUAAUACUGGAUAGCAUAACGAGAAGGCAUCUUCUUGUUAUUAAAGAAUUUCGAUAAUCGAUGGGGAUGCGUUCCAUUAGUUUGUUGGCGGGGUAACGGCCCACCAAGACAUCGAUGGAUAGGGGUUCUGAGAGGAAGGUCCCCCACAUUGGAACUGAGACACGGUCCAAACUCCUACGGGAGGCAGCAGUGAGGAAUAUUGGUCAAUGGACGAGAGUCUGAACCAGCCAAGUAGCGUGAAGGAUGACUGCCCUAUGGGUUGUAAACUUCUUUUAGAUGGGAAUAAAGUGGGCCACGUGUGGCUCUUUGUAUGUACCAUACGAAUAAGGAUCGGCUAACUCCGUG
rnacentral:rRNA from 1 species